rnacentral:rRNA from 1 species
UUUAAAUUGCUGUGGUAUUUUGACUAUACAAAGGUAUUGAAAUAAGACUUUAAUUGAGUGCUAAAAGAAUGGAUUAACGGAAAAAUUCUUUUUUAAUUUCAAAAAUUGAAGUUAUUUUUGUCAGUGAAGAAACUACAAUAAAAAUUAAGGACAAGAAGACCCUAAGAAUUUUUAAUAAUUUUAAAAAAGUUUUUUUUAAAUUAUUUUAAUUGGGGCGAUUAACAAAAAUAAGAAACUUUAUUUUUCCAAAAAAAUGAACCAUUAAUAAUGGUCAUAUGAAAAAAAUACUCUAGGGAUAACAGCGUAAUAAUUUUAGAUAGUUCUUAUAGACAAAAUAGUUUGCGACCUCGAUGUUGGAUUAGGAUUCUUAUUUAAUGAAGAAGUUAAAAAAAGAAGUUUGUUCAACUUUUAAAAUCCUACUUGAUCUGAGUUCAGACCGG